AUUGAACGCUGGCGGCAUGCCUUACACAUGCAAGUCGAACGGUAACGCGGGACAACCUGGCGACGAGUGGCGAACGGGUGAGUAACGCAUCGGAACGUGCCCAGUAGUGGGGGAUAGCCCGGCGAAAGCCGGAUUAAUACCGCAUACGACCUACGGGUGAAAGGGGGGGAUCGCAAGACCUCUCGCUAUUGGAGCGGCCGAUGUCAGAUUAGGUAGUUGGUGGGGUAAAGGCCCACCAAGCCUUCGAUCUGUAGCUGGUCUGAGAGGACGACCAGCCACACUGGGACUGAGACACGGCCCAGACUCCUACGGGAGGCAGCAGUGGGGAAUUUUGGACAAUGGGCGCAAGCCUGAUCCAGCCAUGCCGCGUGCGGGAAGAAGGCCUUCGGGUUGUAAACCGCUUUUGUCAGGGAAGAAACGCUCUGGGCUAAUACCUCGGGGUAAUGACGGUACCUGAAGAAUAAGCACCGGCUAACUACGUGCCAGCCGCCGCUGUAA
rnacentral:rRNA from 1 species